CAUACACCAAACCCAUGAACCAUAUCCAAGUUCAUGAACCAAAUCCAUACACCAAACCCAUGAACCAUAUCCAAGUUCAUGAACCAAAUCUAUACACCAAACCCAUAAAUCAUAUCCAAGUUCAUGAACCAAAUCCAUAUGCCAAACCCAUAAACCAUAUCCAAGUUCAUGACCCAAAUCCAAACGACCGAAAAGUCGUUAAACUAAACCCAAAUUCCUUGAGCCAUAAACCAUAUCCAAAUUUAUGAACCAAAUCCAUGCACCAAACCAAUGAACCAUAUCCAAGUUCAUGAACCAAAUCCAUACACAAAACCCAUGAACCAUAUCAAAGUUCAUGAACCAAAUCCAUACACCAAACCCAUGAACCAUAUCAAAGUUCAUGAGCCAGAUCCAUAUACCAAACCCAUGAACCAUAUCCAAAUUCAUGAACCAUAUCCAAAUCCAUGAACCAAAUCUCAUGAGCCAAUACUCAAAUCUCAUGAACCAAUACCGAAAUCUCAUCGUGAACUUUUUUUACUCUGGCACAUAUACCUAGAGUAAAAAUUAAAUAUCGACUACCCCUAAUACAUAUACUUAGGGCUAUACCAAUCGUCUUGGCACAUAUAACUAAGGCGAAACAUCUCCAAAUCGACAGAGUUUUAAGUCAUAUACUUAGAAUUCAGUCAAAUGAUAUUAAGUUUAUUCGAACUCUAACAUAUAUACUUAGAGUUCAUCCGACUAAUCCUAACACAUAUACUUAGGGUCUAGUCAGUCUUUUGUUCUAGCACAUAUACCUAGAGUGGAAGUCAAGCCAUGCUCGACUA
rnacentral:lncRNA from 1 species